CAGUAGCCGCGGGAAUACGAAGAGGGCUAGCGUUGUUCGGAUUUACUGGGCGUAAAGCGCACGUAGGCGGACUUUUAAGUCAGGGGUGAAAUCCCGGGGCUCAACCCCGGAACUGCCUUUGAUACUGGGAGUCUUGAGUUCGAGAGAGGUGAGUGGAAUUGCGAGUGUAGAGGUGAAAUUCGUAGAUAUUCGCAGGAACACCAGUGGCGAAGGCGGCUCACUGGCUCGAUACUGAUGCUGAGGAGCGAAAGCGUGGGGAGCGAACAGGAUUAGAUACCCGUGUAGUCCCUGUCUCUUAUAC
rnacentral:rRNA from 1 species